GCUUAGAGUGAGUUAAAAUAUUAACAAGAAUAAGGGAAUUUUAAAGUUUAAAGUAAAAUUAUGAGGUGAAAUUUUUAUUUUUACAAAGUUUUAAAGAUGUUUUUAGAUUUGAGGCUUAGAAAUUUUAUUUUAAAACUAGGAUUAGAUACCCUAUUAUAAAAACGUAGUAUUAAAACUCUAGAUUAGUAGUAGAAAGAUUUUUUUUAAUCAGAUGUUCUUGAAAAUUAGAAAAAAUGGCGGUGUUUUAGUCUUUUCAGAGGAACCUGUCCUGUAAUUGAUGGUCCACGAUUUCCUUUACUUUUUUUUUGAGUUUAUAUAUCGCCGUGGUUGAAUAUUCUUUUGGGGAAUUAAUAUUCAAGAUUUUUAGCAAUAAAAAUUCAGGUCAAGAUGUAGUUUAUAAAAAAGAAGAGAUGGGUUACAUUAAUUAUAAUUUUGGAUAAGUUUUUUAAAAAAGCUUUGAWAAUGGAUUUGAAGGUAAUUUUAUUAAAUUAUUUAAAAUGAUUUUAGCUCUAAAAUGUGUACAUAUCGCCCGUCGCUUUCAUUAUAAAAUGAAAUAAGUCGUAACAKAGUAGAUGUACWGGAAAGUGUCUCUAGAAGCUAG
rnacentral:rRNA from 1 species